AGCAGAGAUGCUUGGUGCAUUUGGGAACUCUGAGACAGCUGCUGCAUGGCAGUCGUCAGCUCGUGUUGUGAAAUGUUGGGUUAAGUCCCGCAACGAGCGCAACCCUUAUCCUUUGUUGCCAGCGGUUCGGCCGGGAACUCAAAGGAGACUCCCGGUGAUAAACCGGAGGAAGGUGGGGAUGACGUCAAGUCAUCAUGGCCCUUACGGCCAGGGCUACACACGUGCUACAAUGGCGCAUACAAAGAGAAGCGACCUCGCGAGAGCAAGCGGACCUCAUAAAGUGCGUCGUAGUCCGGAUUGGAGUCUGCAACUCGACUCCAUGAAGUCGGAAUCGCUAGUAAUCGUAGAUCAGAAUGCUACGGUGAAUACGUUCCCGGGCCUUGUACACACCGCCCGUCACACCAUGGGAGUGGGUUGCAAAAGAGGUAGGUAGCUUAACCUCCGGGAGGGCGCUUACCACUUUGUGAUUCAUGACUGGGGUGAAGUCGUAACAAGGUAACCAAGGGCGAAUUCUG
rnacentral:rRNA from 1 species